rnacentral:rRNA from 1 species
UACGUAGGGUGCAAGCGUUGUCCGGAAUUAUUGGGCGUAAAGAGCUCGUAGGCGGUCUGUCGCGUCUGGUGUGAAAACUCAGGGCUUAACCCUGAGCUUGCAUCGGGUACGGGCAGACUAGAGUGCGGUAGGGGAGACUGGAAUUCCUGGUGUAGCGGUGGAAUGCGCAGAUAUCAGGAGGAACACCGAUGGCGAAGGCAGGUCUCUGGGCCGCAACUGACGCUGAGGAGCGAAAGCAUGGGGAGCGAACAGG